AUUGCUGGUGUUUUGUCAUUGUAGGUUCUGUGCUCCUUUGUCUUUACAAUUUCUGUAGUAGGAGUGUGGUUCGUGUUAUUUUCCUUGAGGGUGCCUAAUGUGAGCUUCACGUCUCCAUCUGUGGGUUUUGGUUAGUUUGUUUCCCAUUCUUAAUGUUAUUGUAGUUUGGUAAAGUGGUCUCAUUAAUGGGUGUCCCAUGCUGAAAAUGAGCCUCACUUCCAUUUCCUUGUUGAGAAUACUGUAGCUUGCCUUUCUAGUUAUCAAUUUGUCUUGGGUUUCUAUGUUGGUAUUGAGCAGUUUAUUGAACUUUUUGAUUAGAAAUGACAUUCUGUUGGUUCUGUUUAUUAUCCAUCCUUUCUUAUUUAUUUUAAUUGUUACCUGAUUUCAGGUGGUAGAACUGUUAGAAGGGCUUUUGAGUUAAGAACCUAUGUAGUCCGACCUAAAGCAAACACCAGGCCACCGUAGUUUGGCUACAUGGCCUUGGUGAUAACGGCUCAAGCUGGUUCCAGCUCUUGGAAACUCUCCCCCUUCCUAAUGUAAGAAUGAAUACAUCUACUCUAUUGGAAGUUGAAUUAAUGUUCUCAUGUUAGCCAUACUUACAAUAAUGUGAUGGAGAUUAAAUGGAUUUGUCCAACCGCUCCUAUUGAACCAAUUUCAGGUUUUGGUGGUUUUCCUUCCAUUGCUUGUGAUGCUGUGGUUCCUUAUAAGUUUGGUGAGAAAUCUUCACGAGCUGUGACUGCAACUGGCUUUCAGGACGUGACCUUCAAAUCCUAUAAUGGGUAUGUGGUUCCUUAUUUUGUGUUUAGGUUCUUGCAGGCAUAAAUCUUGCUUUUGUAUUUCUGCGCCCUUCUCUAUUUCUUUUAUAGAAGUUAUGAUUCAUGUUUUGUUCAUAAGCCAAAGAGUUGGAGAACAUUUAGUAUUCCUUUAAAUCAGUUGGGAUGACUUUGCAUAUGAAUGAUAGAAAUGUAAAAGCAUGCUUUGAUACAAAUUUCACUUUUGGCUGGAGUAGUGAU